rnacentral:rRNA from 1 species
UACGUAGGGUGCUAGCGUUGUUCGGAAUCAUUGGGCGUAAAGCGCGCGCAGGCGGUCCUUUAAGUCUGAUGUGAAAGCCCACGGCUCAACCGUGGAGGGUCAUUGGAAACUGGGGGACUUGAGUACAGAAGAGAAGAGUGGAAUUCCACGUGUAGCGGUGAAAUGCGUAGAUAUUGGGAGGAACACCAGUGGCGAAGGCGGCUACCUGGACCGGUUCUGACGCUGAGGCGCGAAAGCGUGGGUAGCAAACAGG